rnacentral:lncRNA from 1 species
UGGGCAUCUGCCAGGACAGCGAAGAGGGCCUGGUCUUGAGCAGCUUACCAAAGGAUGGGACAGAACAUUCUCCCAAUCCAAUACCAGCUGUCAGAGCACAGUCAGACGAUUCUGAGGUCCCCAGAAGCGGGGUAGCACGGUGGCCAAGGGUCAAUUCUAGCAGAGGAAUCACUGUCAAGACCUCCUGCCCCUUGGAAGGGGACACAGCACCACAGCGGAUUCAAGCAUGACCUAAAGCAGCCCGCCUACUUGUACCCUCAAUCAUGUGGUAGAGCCACACCCUCCACCCCGAGGAGCUGCAACAUACCCUUCCACAGACUCCGGGGGAAGAAUCGAUCAUGUCAAUGCCAGAAGAGUCGGGAAGGACCUGCCCAUUGCAGAUGACAUGGGGAGUCUGAGAGGUCAAGGUUCUCAGGAGAAGAGGUUUAGAAGACAGGAUACACAGAAGAGAAAGAAUAAAACACUUCAGAAAGACCAUGAAGUGCUGAAGACACCACCAGCUUUAGACUCUAAAUGAAAGUGAGACAUAUACCCAUCCUGGACCACUGGUGAUGAAGUAGGAGCCGAGGAACUUCUGCAUCUCCACGGUGACGUACAUGGAUACGGGGAUGAUGUAAUUGAAGAGGACCAUGAAGGCCAGGAAGUCGGUGAAGGCCCUGAGGAACUGAUAACAUUGGUUACAUAAAGAAGCUGUAGGUCACCAAGCAAGGACAGGAAACCUCAGAGAGCUCAUCCGUUACCCCAGCCAGAGAAGCAAAGACAAAGGCCUACUUGGAA